GUGAAUCUUCAAAAGUCGGCUCGUCGGAUUGUGCUGGUGGAGACACAUGUGCACAUCUUGCGGGUCGCAAACCCACACACCUGUGCAUCUAUGACUCUGAGUGCCGCUUUGCAUAGCCUUGACCGGCCUGGUGCUCGAGUACUUUUUCAUACACUCUUGAAUGUAAUGGAAUGUCUUGUUGUGCGUAAUGUACAAAUCGAAA
rnacentral:misc_RNA from 1 species